rfam:Citrus clementina cultivar Clemenules unplaced genomic scaffold scaffold_3, whole genome shotgun sequence.
AGAUGAGGGUAGCAUGGUUAUGUGCAAGAAAUUGAUUUGGGUCCGCAUGCCUGCUUCUAAUGAUCUCUUAUUUAGGAGCUUGGUUAUGACCUACAUUU